UACGGAGGGUGCAAGCGUUAUCCGGAUUCACUGGGUUUAAAGGGUGCGUAGGUGGGUUGGUAAGUCAGUGGUGAAAUCUCCGAGCUUAACUUGGAAACUGCCAUUGAUACUAUCAAUCUUGAAUAUUGUGGAGGUCAGCGGAAUAUGUCAUGUAGCGGUGAAAUGCUUAGAUAUGACAUAGAACACCAAUUGCGAAGGCAGCUGGCUACGCAUAUAUUGACACUGAGGCACGAAAGCGUGGGGAUCAAACAGG
rnacentral:rRNA from 1 species